rnacentral:rRNA from 1 species
GAUGAACGCUCGCGGCAGGCCUAAUACAUGCAAGUCGAACGAGAUUACGAGGCUUGCUUCUUAUGAAAGUGGCGCACGGGUGCGUAACGCGUAUGCAACCUACCUUAAUCAGGGGGAUAGCCCGAAGAAAUUCGGAUUAAGACCGCAUAAAAACACAGGAUAGCAUUAUCCAAUGUUCAAAUAUUUAUAGGAUUAAGAUGGGCAUGCGUGUCAUUAGCUAGUUGGCGGGGUAACGGCCCACCAAGGCGACGAUGACUAGGGGAUCUGAGAGGAUGACCCCCCACACUGGUACUGAGACACGGACCAGACUCCUACGGGAGGCAGCAGUAAGGAAUAUUGGUCAAUGGAGGGAACUCUGAACCAGCCAUGCCGCGUGCAGGAAGACAGCCCUCUGGGUCGUAAACUGCUUUUAUUCGGGAAUAAACCUUUCUACGUGUAGGAAGCUGAAUGUACCGAAGGAAUAAGGAUCGGCUAACUCCGUG